UGGGGAAUAUUGCACAAUGGGCGCAAGCCUGAUGCAGCAACGCCGCGUGAGGGACGACGGCCUUCGGGUUGUAAACCUCUUUUGGCAGGGAAGAAGCGAAAGUGACGGUACCUGCAGAAAAAGCACCGGCUAACUACGUGCCAGCAGCCGCGGUGAUACGUAGGGUGCAAGCGGUGUCCGGAAUUAUUGGGCGUAAAGAGCUCGUAGGCGGUUUGUCGCGUCUGCUGUGAAAACCCGAGGCUCAACCUCGGGACUGCAGUGGGUACGGGCAAACUAGAGUGCGGUAGGGGAGAUUGGAAUUCCUGGUGUAGCGGUGGAAUGCGCAGAUAUCAGGAGGAACACCGAUGACGAAGGCAGAUCUCUGGGCCGUAACUGACGCUGAGGAGCGAAAGCAUGGGGAGCGAACA
rnacentral:rRNA from 1 species